GAUGAACGCUAGCGGCAGGCCUAAUACAUGCAAGUCGAGGGGUAACGCGGUAGCAAUACUGGCGACGACCGGCGCACGGGUGCGUAACGCGUAUGCAACCUACCCACUACAGGGGGAUAGCCCGGAGAAAUCCGGAUUAAUACCCCAUAACACAGGGACCCCGCAUGGGGAUAUUGUUAAAGAUUUAUCGGUGGUGGAUGGGCAUGCGUCCGAUUAGCUAGUUGGUGAGGUAACGGCUCACCAAGGCGACGAUCGGUAGGGGGUCUGAGAGGAUGAUCCCCCACACUGGUACUGAGAUACGGACCAGACUCCUACGGGAGGCAGCAGUAGGGAAUAUUGGGCAAUGGAGGCAACUCUGACCCAGCCAUGCCGCGUGAAGGAAGAAGGCUUUCUGAGUUGUAAACUUCUUUUGAUCGGGAACAAAUGCCAUUUGCGAAUGGAGCUGAGUGUACCGAUAGAAUAAGCACCGGCUAACUCCGUGCCAGCCGCCGCCGUAA
rnacentral:rRNA from 1 species